rnacentral:rRNA from 1 species
GUAUAAUGGGUCAGCGACUUAUAUUUUGUAGCAAGGUUAACCGAAUAGGGGAGCCGUAGGGAAACCGAGUCUUAACUGGGCGUCUAGUUGCAAGGUAUAGACCCGAAACCCGGUGAUCUAGCCAUGGGCAGGUUGAAGGUUGGGUAACACUAACUGGAGGACCGAACCGACUAAUGUUGAAAAAUUAGCGGAUGACUUGUGGCUGGGGGUGAAAGGCCAAUCAAACCGGGAGAUAGCUGGUUCUCCCCGAAAGCUAUUUAGGUAGCGCCUCGUGAACUCAUCUUCGGGGGUAGAGCACUGUUUCGGCUAGGGGGUCAUCCCGACUUACCAACCCGAUGCAAACUACGAAUACCGAAGAAUGUUAUCACGGGAGACACACGGCGGGUGCUAACGUCCGUCGUGAAGAGGGAAACAACCCAGACCGCCAGCUAAGGUCCCAAAGUCAUGGUUAAGUGGGAAACGAUGUGGGAAGGCAUAGACAGCCAGGAUGUUGGCUUAGAAGCAGCCAUCAUUUAAAGAAAGCGUAAUAGCUCACUGGUCGAGUCGGCCUGCGCGGAAGAUGUAACGGGGCUAAACCAUGCACCGAAGCUGCGGCAGCGACGCUUAGGCGUUGUUGGGUAGGGGAGCGUUCUGUAAGCCUGCGAAGGUGGCCUGUGAGGGCUGCUGGAGGUAUCAGAAGUGCGAAUGCUGACAUAAGUAACGAUAAAGCGGGUGAAAAGCCCGCUCGCCGGAAGACCAAGGGUUCCUGUCCAACGUUAAUCGGGGCAGGGUAAGUCGACCCCUAAGGCGAGGCUGAAAAGCGUAGUCGAUGGGAAACAGGUUAAUAUUCCUGUACUUGGUGUUAUUGCGAAGGGGGGACGGAGAAGGCUAGACCGGCCGGGCGACGGUUGU